rnacentral:misc_RNA from 1 species
AAGCUGUUUAUAAAAUGGUAGAAUGUUUGUAACCUUUAGGUUGGUGCUUACAUAACAUAUGAAGUUUUGGAGUAUGAUGGUUAGUCUUACAUAUGAUGUUUUGGAGUAUGAUGGUUAGUUUGUACAGUUUUAUCAAAUUAUAUUCAUAUUUCAUUUUCUAUUUUAGAACCAGUGCUGUAUACUUCAAUGUUUCAUCAUACAUUAUACUUUCCUUAUUCUUAACCCAGAGAUAGGGCUACUGGUUCUGUCUACCAUUUUGUUGAGGUGUGAAAGGUGGACUACAAGUUAUAAUCAGGAUUCCUUUUUGUUUGGUUCCUGUGUACUACAAUUA